GAUUCCGCGCCGAUGGCCUAGUGGUUAGAGCGUCCGCCUCGGAUACGGGAGGUCGUGGGUUCGAGCCCCGGUCGAGUCA